AUUAGUGUCUCUACUUCAACAGUUCUAUAGGGCUGUGGUACAUGCUGUUGCUCAUAAUGCCUAUACGUGUGUUGUUCAGUUUGUUGACUACGGCAACUACGAAGAAGUAACAUUAAGUGAUGUACAACAAGUUAGCCUUUCAGAAUGGAAUUACUACCAGCCUAGUGUAGGUCAAACACCCCCUGGUGCUAGUACUGGCUCAUACAUGUCAAACUGUCCACCUGCCUUCUCUGGUGAUGGAAUGGUUCAGUUCAACUUUAUGGGUACUAUUGAGUUUAGAAGAGGUGGGUCCAAACCCGUGGUGAAGCAGACUCCCCAUGGAAAUGGCAAUCAUCAAGGCAGGCCCGUUGACAGGAGCAGACAACAGAGUCGCCCAGCUAUGCAGCUUUAUCAGUCUGCUCAAAGACAAGCUCCAGGGCCUCUCUGAGAUUCCCAGUAGGGUCCUGGCCAGUGUUGUUGAUUCUUCAGGUUAGAAAAACUGUUCUGAACAUCUAUUAAUGAUAAGAAGGAGGUAGGAGAGUGAACUCUGGUGGUGUUUAUGAUUAUAUGGACUACAAGGAAACUUUUAAUUACAUAGAUAGAUAUGUUGUUUGUUACAGGAGGUUCAGUUUAUUAAAUGUACUGCAUCACAGUUAAUACUGUGUUAACCAGUUUUGACAGAAUUUGCUUUUAAAACAUUUGUAGCUUCUUGUAGAUAGGUUUAAUAUUUGAUGAUGCAGUUUAUUACAGUUUGUAUUAUUCUAAUAAGUUGUAACUGAUAGAUAUUAAGUAUUAACACUGAAUAAAAGAAUGAUGUAACUAAUUACAUCUUGCAGGUUUAAUGAAAUUAAUCGUGUUUCAAUAACUUAUUAGACGUGGUGGAAGAUGUCCUGUUCAGGGUGUCUUUUUUUUUUUUGUUAAACCUGUUUAAGUUAAUUCUUUUUUUAUCUUGUAUUAGCGCAUUUUGGUUAAUUGAUAACUUUGCAUAAAAAAAAAAUGAAUAUUUCAAUUUCCAUAGGA